rnacentral:rRNA from 1 species
AACGGGUGAGUAAUGUUUGGCCGGGCCCAGUAGUGGGGGAUAGCCCGGAGAAAGCCGGAUUAAUACCGCAUACGACCUACGGGUGAAAGCGGGGGACCGCAAGGCCUCGCGCUAUUGGAGCGGCCGAUGUCAGAUUAGGUAGUUGGUGGGGUAAAGGCCUACCAAGCCUGCGAUCUGUAGCUGGUCUGAGAGGACGACCAGCCACACUGGGACUGAGACACGGCCCAGACUCCUACGGGAGGCAGCAGUGGGGAAUUUUGGACAAUGGGCGCAAGCCUGAUCCAGCCAUGCCGCGUGCGGGAAGAAGGCCUUCGGGUUGUAAACCGCUUUUGUCAGGGAAGAAAUCUUCUGGGUUAAUACCUCGGGAGGAUGACGGUACCUGAAGAAUAAGCACCGGCUAACUACGUGCCAGCAGCCGCGGUAAUACGUAGGGUGCAAGCGUUAAUCGGAAUUACUGGGCGUAAAGCGUGCGCAGGCGGUUAUGUAAGACAGAUGUGAAAUCCCCGGGCUUAACCUGGGAACUGCAUUUGUGACUGCAUAGCUUGAGUGCGGCAGAGGGGGAUGGAAUUCCGCGUGUAGCAGUGAAAUGCGUAGAUAUGCGGAGGAACACCGAUGGCGAAGGCAAUCCCCUGGGCCUGCACUGACGCUCAUGCACGAAGCGUGGGGAG